AAUCUGGGGUCUCCGGCCCCCGAGUUGUAAUUUGGAGAGGUAUCUUCGGGGGGAUCACUGGCCCAUGUUCCUUGGAACAGGACGUCGCAGAGGGUGAGAAUCCCGUGCCAGGCCGGCUGCCUCCCCCCCAUGUGAAGCGCCUUCGACGAGUCGAGUUGUUUGGGAAUGCAGCUCCAAGUGGGUGGUAAAUUUCAUCUAAAGCUAAAUACUGGCGAGAGACCGAUAGCGCACAAGUAGAGUGAUCGAAAGAUGAAAAGCACUUUGAAAAUAGAGUCAAAAAGUACGUGAAAUUGUUGAAAGGGAAGCGCUUGAGACCAGACUCGGACCGAGGCAAACAUCAGGCCCCGCGGGGCGGUGCACUUGCCUUGAGCCGGGCCAGCAUCAGUUGGUGUGGCGGGACAAUGGCCAGGGGAAUGUGGCUCCUCUCGGGGAGUGUUUUUAGCCCCACGCUCAAUGCCGCCAACGCCGACUGAGGACCGCGCUCCGGCUAGGAUGCUGGCUUAAUGGCCUUCAGCGACCCGUCUUGAAACACGGACCAAGGAGUCUAACAUCUAUGCGAGUGUUUGGGUGCGAAACCCUUGCGCGGAAUGAAAGUGAACGGAGGUGGGAACCCCUCUCCCGGGGGCGCACCAUCGACCGAUCCUGAUGUCUUCGGAUGGAUUUGAGUA
rnacentral:rRNA from 1 species